rnacentral:rRNA from 1 species
CAGAUUUGAUCAUGGCUCAGGAUGAACGCUAGCGACAGGCUUAACACAUGCAAGUCGAGGGGCAGCGAGGGAGUGGCAACACUUCUGUCGGCGACCGGCGCACGGGUGAGUAACGCGUAUGCAACCUGCCCUUCACAGGGGGAUAACCGGGAGAAAUUCCGACUAAUACCGCAUACGUCCUCCGGGGGCAUCCCCGGGGGAUGAAAGAAUUAUCGGUGAAGGAUGGGCAUGCGUGAUAUUAGGUAGUUGGCGGGGCAACGGCCCACCAAGCCCACGAUAUCUAGGGGUUCUGAGAGGAAGGUCCCCCACAUUGGUACUGAGACACGGACCAAACUCCUACGGGAGGCA